GGGCCCGCACAAGCGGUGGAGCAUGUGGUUUAAUUCGAUGAUACGCGAGGAACCUUACCAGGGCUUAAAUGUAAGUUGCAUAAAUCAGAGAUGAUUUUUUCUUCGGACUACUUACAAGGUGCUGCAUGGUUGUCGUCAGCUCGUGCCGUGAGGUGUCAGGUUAAGUCCUAUAACGAGCGCAACCCCUAUCGUUAGUUGCCAGCAAGUAAAGUUGGGUACUCUAGCGAGACUGCCGGUGCAAACCGUGAGGAAGGUGGGGAUGACGUCAAAUCAUCACGGCCCUUACGUCCUGGCUACACACGUGCUACAAUGGUCGGUACAGAGAGCAGCCACUACGCGAGUAGGAG
rnacentral:rRNA from 1 species